rnacentral:rRNA from 1 species
AGAACGAACGCUGGCGGCAUGCCUAAUACAUGCAAGUCGAACGAACUCUUCGGAGUUAGUGGCGCACGGGUGCGUAACGCGUGGGAAUCUGCCCCUUGGUUCGGAAUAACAGUUGGAAACGACUGCUAAUACCGGAUGAUGACGAAAGUCCAAAGAUUUAUCGCCAAGGGAUGAGCCCGCGUAGGAUUAGCUAGUUGGUGAGGUAAAGGCUCACCAAGGCGACGAUCCUUAGCUGGUCUGAGAGGAUGAUCAGCCACACUGGGACUGGAGACACGGCCCAGACUCCGUACGGGAGCAGCAGUA